AGUCGAGCGAGAUCUUCGGGUCUAGCGGCGGACGGGUGAGUAACGCGUGGGAAUWUGCCUCUUGGUACGGAAUAGCCUCGGGAAACUGGGAGUAAUACCGUAUGUGCCCUUUGGGGGAAAGAUUUAUCGCCAAGAGAUUAGCCCGCGUUGGAUUAGGUAGUUGGUGGGGUAAUGGCCUACCAAGCCGACGAUCCAUAGCUGGUUUGAGAGGAUGAUCAGCCACACUGGGACUGAGACACGGCCCAGACUCCUACGGGAGGCAGCAGUGGGGAAUCUUAGACAAUGGGGGCAACCCUGAUCUAGCCAUGCCGCGUGAGUGAUGAAGGCCUUAGGGUUGUAAAGCUCUUUCAGCUGGGAAGAUAAUGACGGUACCAGCAGAAGAAGCCCCGGCUAACUCCGUGCCAGCAGCCGCGGUAAUACGGAGGGGGCUAGCGUUGUUCGGAAUUACUGGGCGUAAAGCGCACGUAGGCGGACCAGAAAGUUGGGGGUGAAAUCCCGGGGCUCAACCCCGGAACUGCCUUCAAAACUAUUGGUCUGGAGUUCGAGAGAGGUGAGUGGAAUUCCGAGUGUAGRGGUGAAAUUCGUAGAUAUUCGGAGGA
rnacentral:rRNA from 1 species